rnacentral:tRNA from 1 species
GCGCCCGUAGCUCAGUUGGAUAGAGUGUUGCCCUCCGAAGGCAAAGGUCGUACGUUCGAAUCGUAUCGGGCGCGCCA